GAUGAACGCUGGCGGCGUGCCUAAUACAUGCAAGUCGAGCGAACAGAUAAGGAUCUUGCUCCUUUGACGUUAGCGGCGGACGGGUGAGUAACACGUGGGUAACCUACCUAUAAGACUUGGAUAACUUCGGGAAACCGGAGCUAAUACCGGAUAACAUUUCGAACCGCAUGGUUCUAAAGUGAAAUAUGGGUUUGCUAUCACUUAUAGAUGUAUCCGCUCCGUAUUAGCUAGUUGGUAAGGUAACGGCUUACCAAGGAGCCGAUACGUAGACGACGUCAGAGGCUGAUAGGCCACCCUGGAACUGAACCACGGUCCAGAGUACUAAGAGAGGGAGCAGUAGGCAAUGUGCCGCAGUAGGCGAAAGCCUGACGGAGCAACGGCGAGUGAGAGAUAACGGGGUUCCGCUCGUAAAACUCUGCUAUUAGGGAAGAACAAAUGUGUAAGUAACUGUACACAUCUUGACGGUACCUAAUCAGAAAGCCACGGCUAACUACGUG
rnacentral:rRNA from 1 species